GGGGUUGUGGCUCAGUGGUAGAGCGGUCACCUAACAUGUGUGACACACUGGGUUUGAUCCUCAGCACCACA
rnacentral:tRNA from 1 species